rfam:Brassica oleracea var. oleracea cultivar TO1000 chromosome C3, whole genome shotgun sequence
GGAAGUUAAGAAACUGUUUAUUAACUUUUAACUAAAAAGUUAAGAACCGGUUCUUAAAUAAGGGUUUUAAGAACCGGUUCUUAAUUUUUUUAGUUAAAAAUUAAGAAACAGAUUUUUAACUUCC